rnacentral:rRNA from 1 species
GACCCCUUUAACCGUACUGAGAACUUCUAUAAACUUAUAGAACCUUUUCUGCUAAAACUAGUAACAAGAGUAUUAUCCCUCUCUUUAAUGCAAACAUAACCCAGCAAGAACCAAUCACUGGCAAUUAACAGACGUAAUGUAGCAACUUCACCAGAAAACCCUACUAUCACCCCUAUUAACCUAACACCAGAGCAUUUCAAGAAAGAUUAAAAGAAAAAGAAGGAAUUCCGCAAACAUAGCCUCGCCUGUUUACCAAAAACAUCGCCUCUUGCCCACACCUAUAAGAGGUCCAGCCUGCCCAGUGACUCUGUUCAACGGCCGCGGUAUCCUAACCGUGCAAAGGUAGCGUAAUCACUUGUCUUCUAAAUAAAGACCAGUAUGAAAGGCAUCACGAGGGCUAAACUGUCUCCUUUCUCUAAUCAGUGAACCUAAUCCCCCCGUGAAGAAACGGGGAUUUCAAUAUAAGACGAGAAGACCCUAUGGAGCUUUAAACAUCAUGACACCUGCUAACUUUAAAUACUCCCGAUCUCUAACACAAUAGCAUGCUGAUUAUAAGUUUUUGGUUGGGGUGACCGCGGAGAAAAACCAACCCUCCGCGAUGAAAGGGGUCCUCCCCUAAACUAUAAGCCACAACUUUACGUAUAAACAAAUUAACAUCAUUGACCUAAUAUUUAACCAACGAACCAAGUUACCCUAGGGAUAACAGCGCAAUCCACUUUAAGAGCUCCUAUCGACAAGUGGGCUUACGACCUCGAUGUUGGAUCGGGAUACCCUAGUGGUGCAGCCGCUACUUAAGGUUCGUUU